rnacentral:rRNA from 1 species
AUUGAACGCUGGCGGCAGGCCUAACACAUGCAAGUCGAACGGUAGCACAGAGAGCUUGCUCUCGGGUGACGAGUGGCGGACGGGUGAGUAAUGUCUGGGAAACUGCCUGAUGGAGGGGGAUAACUACUGGAAACGGUAGCUAAUACCGCAUAACGUCGCAAGACCAAAGAGGGGGACCUUCGGGCCUCUUGCCAUCGGAUGUGCCCAGAUGUGAUUAGCUAGUAGGUGGGGUAACGGCUCACCUAGGCGACGAUCCCUAGCUGGUCUGAGAGGAUGACCUGCCACACUUGAACUGAGACACUGUCCAGACUCCUACGGGAGGCAGCAGUGGGGAAUAUUGCACAAUGGGCGCAAGCCUGAUGCAGCCAUGCCGCGUGUAUGAAGAAGGCCUUCGGGUUGUAAAGUACUUUCAGCGGGGAGGAAGGGAGUAAAGUUAAUACCUUUGCUCAUUGACGUUACCCGCAGAAGAAGCACCGGCUAACUCCGUGCCAGCCGCCGCCGUAA